UCUAUCCGUUCAUAAAUAUCCAUUGAAUAUGCCCAAUAGCAAAGAUACAAAUGUAGCAAGUGUUACACGAAUAAACAAAAGUUCAGCGUUUCUCAAGCACGGAGUCUGAAGUCUGCUCGUCGGAGAUAUACGGAGACAGCCGAGCGUCUGGUUGAACGAGACUAGUAGUUAAAAUUACGAGGGAAAAAUAGUUCGAUAUAAAAUUGGUUGUUUAUGAGCAAAGAAAGAAAAAUAACAGGAGCACGGUAAUGAAUGGUUUUUAAAAACAACUAUUUGUAUAAUUCGAUUUGAAAAAAAGAUGAUUAGAAUGAUACUUUGUCUGUGUGUAAAUUAUUUGUAAACAUAUAAACUUGCGCGUAGUAAUAUCACACACCGAUUUUGCUGGAUGCACUUCAAGUUGUAUACUACCCAAAGAGCGUGAUUUUUUUUGUCAACAAACCCAGGUUGAGAACAACAGGUGACCGUCCAUCGUCGACAUACGCAAGAUGAAUGUCAAGAAACUGAUUAACAUUCAACGACAAGAGGAAACAGUGAGAGCCCAACAUCAUCCUUCAUUUCUGCUGAAGGGGAGAGUUGCUAAACUUAGGCACACAGCAAAAUUCAAACAGAACACAGAAAAAGACGGUCAGAUGCUAUAAAUGCAGUGUAGCAUUGUUGAGAGAUGCUUCUCAGUUCAUCACUGUUAGAGGGACUAACAUUGAACAUUUGUAAUCAGGGCAUCUAAAAUAUGCUACCAGCAGGGACCUUCAUCUUGGUGACCUUAACACCAUUCUCAAGGAAAAUCCUACUGAAAAAGACAGUUGUCAGGGAUAUGAUGGCAGCAAGACGUCAUUAGUCUAUUGAAAUUGUUGUGCAACAAAUGGCAUAUACCAGGAUUAUACGCUUUCCAAGGACACGUUUAUAGCAGCUAUAAAAGGAUUCUUUGAAAGUGAAUGUUCAACUAGUAUCAUGGGAAAAGUUCUCUUAAACAUUCCAUUAGUAUUGAUAUAAAGACAUGAAGUUCAAAUGUCUUCAUUAUUAGAAAACUGUGAUUUGACUGUACACCCUAGAUCAAUUGUAAAGGACACAUAAUACACUUAUUUGUACAUUAUUAUUAAAUAGCAACCUAUAACAAAACUUCUAGCAAUAUCCUUUGACUACUGCACUUUUAUUUCUUAACAUUUGUAUGUUCAUGUAUGGUCGAUCAUUGUUAAAUGUGUUUUGGUAUACAGUACAGUUAGUAAAUAAACUUUUUCUGAUUUUUGAACAUAUGUAAAACUUGAGAAUAUCGAAAGAAAAAAAUUGAAAAACAUAUGAAUCAUGACCCAUUUUACUACACAUUGUCCAGAUAUUUUGUACAUUAUUCUAUUAAGCUGAAUUCCCAAUGGCUGUUAAAAUUGCUUCUCAUGUGAGCAAUGUGACACACAAGCUACUUGAUUGUUUUAAGUUCUAUAAUCAAAUGAUUACAUAUGUAUCUUUGUUAUUUUGGUGAAACUAUAUUGUAAAGUAUGAAAAAAUGCAUUUUCCAAAGUUCAGUUUCCUAAAUUCUUUGAUAUUUUUUCAUCAUUCCAUCCAAAUUACACUGAAUAUAUUUAACCUAUAUACUACUCUGGCCCAAGAUAUUUAUGACACACAUUUGGACAAUUUUUCAUAAAAUAAACAUAUACGCAAAGAAAGUGAUCAAUAAAGGGCAAAUUUCCAAGAUAUCUUCAUUGACACAUUAUCGUUUUUCAACUUGCAUAUCAGUGUCAACUGGUUAUACAAAUAUAUUUUACAAAUAAAUAUCUUGAUGUUCAAUUUGCUUUUCCUGUUUUAUCUUUAAGGUAUUAUACACUUAUCUUGUAAGUUACUGAAUAUUUCCACAUUGACCAUCUGUACCAUAUUAGUACAUAUAUUAUGUUCUUUAUGAUUUGUUUACUAUUCCUUCACAUUUUUCAUUUUAAACUGUAAUGCCUUCAUAAAAUCUCAAAUUUUUAAAGGGACUUGGACAUGAUUUGACUUAAAAUUUUCAAAUUUUAUUUUCCCAUUUAAAUAUUUAUACUGAUAA